rnacentral:tRNA from 1 species
GGACAGGUGGCCGAGCGGCUGAAGGCGCGCCCCUGCUAAGGGCGUAGGGUCUUAGACAGGCUCUCGUGGGUUCGAAUCCCACCCUGUCCGCCA